ACGCUCGACACCUACGGGAGGCAGCAGUGGGGAAUAUUGCACAAUGGGGGAAACCCUGAUGCAGCAACGCCGCGUGAAGGAAGACGGUUUUCGGAUUGUAAACUUCUGUUCUUAGUGAAGAUAGUGACGGUAGCUAAGGAGCAAGCCACGGCUAACUACGUGCCACAGCCGCGGAAUCUGAGCGGGCUGGCAAGGC
rnacentral:rRNA from 1 species